rnacentral:rRNA from 1 species
GGACAAAGACUGACGCUCAGGUGCGAAAGCGUGGGGAGCAAACAGGAUUAGAUACCCUGGUAGUCCACGCCGUAAACGAUGUCUACUUGGAGGUUGUGCCCUUGAGGCGUGGCUUCCGGAGCUAACGCGUUAAGUAGACCGCCUGGGGAGUACGGCCGCAAGGUUAAAACUCAAAUGAAUUGACGGGGGCCCGCACAAGCGGUGGAGCAUGUGGUUUAAUUCGAUGCAACGCGAAGAACCUUACCUGGUCUUGACAUCCACGGAAGUUUUCAGAGAUGAGAAUGUGCCUUCGGGAACCGUGAGACAGGUGCUGCAUGGCUGUCGUCAGCUCGUGUUGUGAAAUGUUGGGUUAAGUCCCGCAACGAGCGCAAC